UGUCCCAUAACCUCUAUAUAAGGAGGUGAAGAAUACAUGUAUCAAGUCAUUCUACACAUAGAUCUCCAUUAGAACUAUUCUCCAUGGCAAACCGAAGCAAUGGUUCCAGGGCUGCCAUUGCGUUACUUCUUGGACUCCUCAUAGCAAUCCCAACAAGGGUGACAUCCAUUGGCGUGUGUUAUGGAAUGCAAGGAAACAAUCUGCCUCAACCAAGUACUGUAGUGAAUCUGUACAAGUCUAAUAAUAUCAAGGCAAUGAGGCUUUACGAUCCAAACCAAGCUGCUCUCCAGGCCCUCAAGGGUUCCAACAUCCAGCUCAUCCUAGAUGUCCCAAACAGUUCUCUACAAUCAUUAGCUUCUAGCGCUUCAGCAGCCAGUAAUUGGGUCCAGACAAAUGUGAAGGCCUAUUCUUCUGGUGUUUCAUUUAAAUACAUUGCAGUUGGCAAUGAAGUGAUUCCUGGAAGUCUAGCCCAGUAUGUGCUCCCUGCCAUGAGAAACAUCUAUUCAGCUCUUUCCUCAGCCGGUCUGCAAAACCAAAUCAAAGUCUCAACUUCAGUCGCCACUUCAGUCCUCGGCGGGAACUCAUCUCCUCCCUCAUCUGGGUUUUUCGCUUCUGAUGCACUGACAUACUUGAGCCCAAUAGUUAAAUUUUUGGCCAGCAAUGGAGCCCCACUCCUGGUAAAUGUAUACCCCUACUUCAGUUAUGUGAAUAACCCGACCCAGAUCAAGCUUGACUAUGCUUUGUUUACUUCCCCGGGGACCGUCGUGACAGAUGGACAAUAUAAAUAUCAGAACCUCUUUGAUGCCAUAGUUGAUGCAGUUUAUGCAGCAUUGGAGAAGGCAGGAGGGUCUAGUGUGGGUGAUCGUGGUAUCGGAGAGCGGUUGGCCAUCAGCUGGUGGUACUGCAGCAACCAUCAGCAAUGCAAAAACAUAUAAUCAGAAUUUGAUCAAUCAUGUUGGUCAAGGGACUCCAAGGAGAUCUGGAAAGGCUUUAGAGACCUACAUAUUUGAGAUGUUCAAUGAGAAUGAGAAAUCAGCAGGCGUAGAACAAAACUUUGGACUGUUUUACCCAAAUACGAAUCCAGUCUACUCAAUCAACUUCACUUGAAAUGCCAAAGGCCAUGAAUAAAUAGUAAUAUCUAGAAUAAACCAUUGGAAACAAUGGAGUGUGGUUUUCCAUGACUAUGAAUUGGGAGAAUACAUGUUGUAAUAAAGUUCAUCUUUCCUGGAAGGUUUCACAUGAAUAAAUUUAUCCUCAUAUGACAUUAUUUGAAA